rnacentral:rRNA from 1 species
CGGUGAUAUAAUUAAACGGCUGCAGUACUCUGACUGUGCAAAGGUAGCAUGAUCAAUUGUCUGGUAAUUCCAGUCUGGUAUGAAUGGUUAGACGAUAGGAACGCUGUCUUUUUCUCUUUUGUUGAAAUUGACUACCAGGUGCGGAGGCCUGGAUUGGAUAGUGGGACGAGAAGACCCUAUAGAGCUUUAACUUUAGCUAUAAAAUCAUUGUUAUGGUGUGUGUUUUAGUUGGGGCAACUAUUCUUAUUAUUAAACAUUUAUAGUAAUCUAGUAAAUUUAAUUUGUGUGGACCCUAAAUUUUUAGGUAGUUAGAAAAAGUUACCUUAGGGAUAACAGCGUAAUUUCUCUUGAGAGUUCUUAUUAA